AGAAGGAAUAUAAUUGUGAGGAUACCACCUUUUCUAGUAAUCAACCUUUUUUCAGAUAUCAACUGUUGUUGAGAGGUCAUCCACUAAAUGAAUGCCAAGUGUAGAGGAUGGCAGUGGAUAGUCAAAAAAGGAUUCCUGGUGGUUGAAGAGUGUGUUGGCUUGUUCUCAACUCUUUAUAUUGUGCAUCAUGGAAGGAUGCAGGAUGCAGGAAGAGGACCAGUCGCAUGUGGUUUUUUGAGCAGAUGUGGCCUGGUUUUGCAUUUCUGAGUCUUUUUAUUAUUUGACUGAGUGGGCAUGUUGGUUUCCUCAGAAGUCUUUUGAGUUUGUUUAGGUGAUUCUCAUACUUGAAAGCACUGAAGUUGUCAAGGACACCAUGCUUUUUCGCAUCAUCUGCAAGAUGUACAAGGCAGAGUGCAUUGUAGGACAAGAAUUGUGGACCAUACAGUUGACCAAAGUGAGAGACAACGAGCACCACCUACAAGUCAGAGGACCCAUCUUCAGCCACAAGAGAAGAAGCUGUCUCAUGAUGGUGCAUGUAGUCGAGGGGAAAACCAAAGACCAUGUUUAGGGAUGUUUCUUCAAGAGGUGAUGGACCGUGAUGAUGAUCAGCAUCUGUCUUAUUUCUGAAGCUCUCAUUAGUUCUUAAAGGCAUGUCAGUUCUUGGAAAUGUCAUUCUGUUUUCUAGGUACAAACCAUCCUGUGUGCAUUUUUCACAUCCGUGAUAGCCUGUGUGACCUUUAACAUUUUUCAGGAAUGCAUGGGCAGGUGCAUCACAGACCAUCGAAGAGAGUAUUAAAUUGAACAUCACUCCAUCGAAUUCAAAUCCUUUAGCUAAUUCAUUUACUUCAGAGAUGAAUUCUUGAAGGUACUCAGCUAGGGAUGUAGGUUUACUUGUGCCACAAAAUAAACCUAUUGUCACUGGUUCCUCUUGUUUGAUGUU